UCAUUAGCAGAUGGGAGAGAACAUGUAGGAUGGUAGACAGAGAUGAGAGAGGAGAUGUAGGGAGGUGCAGCACUGUGGAGAGCUUUGUGUGUGGGACUGAGGAUUUUGUACUGUAUUCUGGACUGAAUUGGUAACCAGUGUAGUGACUGGCACAGGGAGGAGGCAUCUGUGUAGCGGCUGGAGAGGAAGAUGAGUCUGGCUGCGGCAUUAAGGAUGGACUGGAGAGGAGAGAGUUUGGAGAAAGGAAGGCCUAUUAGUAAAGAGUUCAGUACUCAGUACAGUACUUAACGGUCUAUUUAUUAACCACCAGUGGUGCGGUUGUGAGAAGACGGAAUCCUGAGAAAGACUGCAAGAUCUACUAUAAUAACCUCCUCCAGAGUUCAGUGGUGCGGUUGUUAGAGACUGCAGGGUUUAUGUCAAAUUUGACAUUUUAGCUAAAAAUAAAUAACUGCUCUUGUGCAUGACAAUGCUGCAAAUAUGGUGGCUGCUGAUGGUCCAGUGUUGGCUGCCCUUACCACACUUUGCAGCUGGUUAUUAAUGCUGCUUUGAAGAAUACAGGUAUUGAAAGAGCUGUCAGUGCUGCUAGAGGACUAGUUGAACCCUUUUAAAAAAAAGUUAACUAGCCAGCAGCAAGUUGAAGCAGAAGCAGAUAGGUCCAUUUGAACAUAAGCUUCUUCAAGAUGUCAGCACCAUAUGGAACAGCACUUACUAUAUGGUUGACAGGCUCCUUGAACAAAGGUGGCCGGUUACUGCAACCCUGUCAGACCUACCAGCUACCCAAAAGGGCAAACAAUAUUGGGACCUAAAACCAGAACAAUGGAGUGUUCUUGAGGAGCUUUGGUGCUUAAGGCUUUUGAAUGUGCCACUGUGUUCAUGAGUGGGCAAGAAUAUCCAUCUCUAUGUUCAAUGCCUUCAUUUGUCAAGUUAUUGUGGUCCAGUGGGCGUGCUUCUUUUGAAUCUUCGGCCAUGAGGAGCUUCCAAGCCACUGCAACGAACAAGCUGCACAGCAGAUCGACUGAUAUUCUAUCAGAAGAACAGGUCAUAA